rnacentral:rRNA from 1 species
UGCGGUUAUACAAAAAUUAAAUUGAAUUUUUUUAGGAUUUAAUUAAUAAGAAUAAAAUUAUAAUAAUUUAAAUUUUAAAUUAUAAAGUGAAAUUUUAAUUUAAUUAAAAUUUAUUUAUUUUUAUGAAUUAGUAAAUUUUAUAAAAAACUAGGAUUAGAUACCCUAUUAUUAAAAUUUAAAUUUAAAUAAUCUUAAAAUAGUAUAUAAUUUUUUAUAGAAACUUAAAUAAUUUGGCGGUAUUUUAGUUCAUUUAGAGGAAUCUGUUUAAUAAUUGAUAAUCCACGAUUAAAUUUACUUAAUUUAUAAUUUUGUAUAUCGUUGUUAAAAAAAUAUUUUUAAAUAAUUAUAAUAUUUUAAAAUUUUUAUAAAAAAUUAAAUCAGAUCAAGAUGCAGAUUAUAAUUAAGAAUAUAAUGGAUUACAAUAAAUUUUAUUUUAUUUGGAUAUUAAUUUGAAAUAAUUAAUUGAAAUUGGAUUUAAAUGUAAUUUUAUUAAUUUUAAUAAAAUGAUUAAAAAUUAAAAUAUGUACAUAUUGCCCGUCGCUUUCAUUAAUAAAUUGAAAUAAGUCGUAACAAAGUAGAGGUACUGGAAAGUGUUUCUAGAAAGAU